GGGGAGCAGAACUACUACUACAACCACUCAAGAUCACAUCAUGUUCUUGUGAUAACCAUUGUCAAUGGACUAGCCCAGCUCAAGCGGUUCGGGCAACCCAACUAAAAAAAAAUUGCAUUCUACCUAAAGUUCAAGGCCUUUAAGCCCAAAAUAGUCAAACCCGAGAUGACUGAAUCCUCUCAGUCAGGCCUGGGUUUGAUCUUUGUUUUCUAGGAAAACAAUUUAACCUGAUCCGAGCCCCACCC
rnacentral:lncRNA from 1 species